rnacentral:rRNA from 1 species
GAGUUUGAUCUUGACUCAGAUUGAACGCUGGCGGCAUGCCUUACACAUGCAAGUCGAACGGCAGCACGGGAGCUUGCUCCUGGUGGCGAGUGGCGAACGGGUGAGUAAUGCAUCGGAACGUAUCCUGGAGUGGGGGAUAACGUAGCGAAAGUUACGCUAAUACCGCAUAUUCUGUGAGCAGGAAAGCGGGGGACCUUCGGGCCUCGCGCUCUUGGAGCGGCCGAUGUCGGAUUAGCUAGUUGGUGAGGUAAAGGCUCACCAAGGCGACGAUCCGUAGCAGGUCUGAGAGGAUGAUCUGCCACACUGGAACUGAGACACGGUCCAGACUCCUACGGGAGGCAGCAGUGGGGAAUUUUGGACAAUGGGGGCGAACCCUGAUCCAGCCAUGCCGCGUGAGUGAAGAAGGCCUCGGUUGGUAAGUACGUCUUUCGUCGGUACGGGAAGGAAAGUUAA